rnacentral:rRNA from 1 species
CUCCCUCGUUGCUGACCCCAGGUUCGAUAGUACCUUAAUUAGGCAUCACCUCGCCAAGAACCAACUUCGAUGAAGCGACGGGCGGUGUGUGCAAGGAG